rnacentral:rRNA from 1 species
UCYGGUUGAUCCUGCCRGACCCGACUGCUAUCAGAGUGAGAUUAAGCCAUGCGAGUCAACGUAGCAAUACGUGGCAUACGGCUCAGUAACACGUAGUCAACAUAACCAAAGGACGUGGAUAAACUCGGGAAACUGAGGCUAAACCGCGAUAGAUCAAGAUACCUGGAAUGGUUUUUGAUCAAAAUCUAUAUGGCCUUUGGAUUGGACUGCGUCCGAUCAGGCUGUUGGUGAGGUAAUGGCCCACCAAACCUAUAACCGGUACGGGCUCUGAGAGGAGGAGCCCGGAGAUGGGUACUGAGAUAAGGACCCAGGCCCUAUGGGGCGCAGCAGGCGCGAAACCUCUGCAAUAGGCGAAAGCUUGACAGGGUUACUCUGAGUGACUUUCGUUAAGAAAGUCUUUUGACACCUCUAAAAAUGGUGUAGAAUAAGGGGUGGGCAAGUCUGGUGUCAGCCGCCGCGGUAAUACCAGCACCCCGAGUGGUCGGGACGAUUAUUGGGCCUAAAGCAUCCGUAGCCGGCCUUACAAGUCCUCCGUUAAAUCCAGCUGCUUAACAGAUGGGCCGCGGAGGAUACUAUAAGACUAGGAGGCAGGAGAGGCAAGCGGUACUCAGUGGGUAGGGGUAAAAUCCGUUGAUCCAUUGAAGACCACCAGUGGCGAAGGCGGCUUGCCAGAAUGCGCUCGACGGUGAGGGAUGAAAGCUGGGGGAGCAAACCGGACUAGAUACCCGGGUAGUCCCAGCUGUAAACGAUGCAGACUCGGUGAUGAAUAGGCUUCGUGCCUAUUCAGUGCCGCAGGGAAGCCGUUAAGUCUGCCGCCUGGGGAGUACGGUCGCAAGACUGAAACUUAAAGGAAUUGGCGGGGGAGCACCACAAGGGGUGAAGCCUGCGGUUCAAUUGGABUCAACGCCGGR